rnacentral:rRNA from 1 species
UGGGGAAUAUUGGACAAUGGGCGAAAGCCUGACCCAGCAACGCCGCGUGAAGGAUGAAGUAUUUCGGUAUGUAAACUUCGAAAGAAUAGGAAGAAUAAAUGACGGUACUAUUUAUAAGGUCCGGCUAACUACGUGCCAGCAGCCGCGGUAAUACGUAGGGACCAAGCGUUGUUCGGAUUUACUGGGCGUAAAGGGCGCGUAGGCGGCAAUUCAAGUCAUCUGUGAAAUCUCCGGGCUUAACUCGGAACGGUCAGAUGAUACUGCUUUGCUAGAGUGCAGAAGGGGCAAUCGGAAUUCUUGGUGUAGCGGUGAAAUGCGUAGAUAUCAAGAGGAACACCUGAGGUGAAGACGGGUUGCUGGGCUGACACUGACGCUGAGGCGCGAAAGCCAGGGGAGCAAACAGGAUUAGAUACCCACGUAGUCCCUGAGCGGGCUGGCAAGGCGCAU